rnacentral:lncRNA from 1 species
GAGAGUGUUGGCGGUGGUGUCGGCUCCGGCGUUGAGAAACUCGGAGCACAGCACGAUCAAGUCCUCGUCCGUGAGCUUGAGCUGAUGAUCCUCUUGCCGCUGGAGCGAGAACAGCGAGCUCAGGUAGGAGUUUUGAUCGAGCUUGUCCUCGGCUGCCAGGAGCUUGGCCCUUUGGAUCAGAGGCAGCAGGAGCUCCCUCCUCUCUCCGACGAGUUCCUCCAGCUUCAAAUCCCUCGGCGAUCGCUGGACAAUCUUGAGAAGCGGGACAAAGUCGCUCAUCCUCCCACCGCGUCCAGCACUGGUGAUCAAGUGCCGCAGCAUUCGUUCCACACCAUUCACGGCAUCCUUGUCCAGCCACUGCCCAAAGCACAUGUAGGAAAGAAGCGAGAAGACGGUGAACCUGAGCGUUGCAAGAACCGGUACCGCGCUGCUGUCCGCGCGGCACUCCUUAUCUACCGCGCGGUACACCGGACUAUCCGCGCUGUACUCCUUGUCUACCGUGCGGUACGAUGGGCCGUCCGGGCUGUCCGCCCGUUGUGACGUCUGGCGAAGCUUCUCCACGAGCUCACUGAUAACGCGCUGCCUGGCGGGCUCAAAGGCGUGGACGCGGUGUGGGCUCAAGACGUGGCUUACCAUGUUGCGCCGCACGGUACGCCAGUGAUGACCAUAGGGCGCCGCGUUGAUACUGCGGCGGUAGUUGCUCAGCCGGACCUGCCGCUCGGACAAGGAUGGCCGCGACGAGAAAAUGGAGCCCUUCUCGAUCAGGGCCUCGUGCGCGAGCUGCGAGCUCGAGAUUACCACCAGGGGCACCGAUCCAACGCGAAGUGUCAUGAUCGCGCCGUGCUGCCGGGCCAGAUUUUGGAGAUUCAUGGGGCUCCCCAGCACCGAUCGCAUCUGGAGGAGAUUGCCGAGGAGUGGGAAGCCCCUUGGCCCCGGAGGGAGAUGGGUUCGCCGCCUGGAGAGGAGAAGAAGCGAGGCGGCCAGGAUCGCCACCGCCACAGCCAGGAAUGCCACCAUAGACGCCAUGGUGACAAGAUGCCCUAGCUAAGAACCCUAAAAACAGAGACCAAGAGGGUUUAGGGUUUUAGCGAUGGUCGCUACGCGCUUGCUGCUUCUGGCCAGGAAUUCCUUCGCGGCUAGACGAUCGCUCUGUUGUCACAGGAGUGCCGCAUUCUUGGAGCACGAGAUUUGGGAGAUUUGUAGCCGGCGAAGCUCGGGAUUUCCAUCGCUGCUGCCUUCCAGGUAUUUUGGUAGCAAUGCCGGUGCUGGCAGCGGUAAGGAAGUGGCGAAGGAGGAGAAAUCCGUGAUCCCGGCCGCAGGUAAUUCUCGUGCUUCGAGAAAAGGGGAAGAUCACUCGAAAGCAAAUGAGAAUAUGGAGGACAAGCCAAAGCGAACGAAGAAAGUGGAAGAACCAAAGUUGCCGGCUUCGAGAAAAGGAGAUGUCGAGGAGGUGGCCGAUGGAGCGAAGGCUAAACCCAAGAAAACAAAGGUGGUGGAGACCGAGGCAAAGCUUUUAGCUCCCAGAAAAGAUCUUGGGAGUAACGAAGCGAUCGAAGCCAAACCAAAGCCAAAGCGAUCGAGGAAAGUGAAGGGCGAGGAAGAAAAAGACUCCAGUGUUUCUGGAAAUGGCAAAGAGGUGACUAAAGCGAAGUCGAAAGGGACGAAGAAAGUGCCAGUAGAGGAAGGAAUGGAGUCCGAGCUAUCAGCUCCAGGCCAGAGGAAAACAUCUAAGCCAAGGACACAGUCUGCAAAGAAGGUGGAGGAAACUGUGAAAGAUGUCGGGACAGUUGGUUUAGUAGCAGAGAAUAGUAUGGAGCUGGAAAAGAAAGUUGAGAAGAGACCACCAAAGCCAGGGAGGCAAGCUGCAAAGAAGAUGGAGCUACUGGAUGAAGCUGCGAGGAUUGCCGGGACAGAUGGUUUAGUAGCAGAGAAUCCAUAGAGCUAGAAAUGAAGGAACGGGAUUGGGUCGUGGUGGUAGAAUCAUCGCCGCAAAGUUUGGACGUUAGUUUGGAUACUAGUGGGACUAAAACUCCAGAGUUCGUGGAAAACAAUCUAGAUUCGGAAAUAAGCGUACCACUUGUGGAAGAGUCCGGGGCGUCGCAGCAAGCUUUGGACGAUGCAGCGAAGCCACAGACAACAGAGACUGUGAAGGUUGCUGAGACAGACAACGUGGUUGUAGAAAAAGAUUCAAAGGUGGCAGAACCAUCGCCAGAUCAAGCGAAGACGCAGCAUGAAAAUGUGGUCACAGCGGGAGCAAAACAGGAUGGCUUUCUUGAGGUGGAUGACGAGCUCAAGGAGUUUCUCAUGGACAGAAAGCUACAGCAGGAGCAAGGUGCCGACAACUGUCGCAAGCAUCAAGUGCCUCGGGUACAAGAUUUGAUUCCCGGAGACAGUAGCGAAGGUUAGAGCUGUGGCAGUAGAUUUUCAACAAAUCACCAAGAUCUGUCUCCCUAAUGUGGCUGAGGUGAUCGAUUGUACACAUUUCGAGAUUAUCCUUAUCUGACCAGUUGGCCCAGAUGGUGAGGGCUACUUUGAUCAAAAGCAAUGGUACUCAGUGAUCAUGCAGGGGGUUUAUGAUGCUCAGAAAAGGUUCUUGAGUAUUUAUGCAGUUUAGCCAGGUAAUUACUUUUAAUUUUUUUCUUCUAUACAUUUAAUUGGUUUAUUUUUGUCCUUAUGUUCAUAACAUAAGGGUUUUUCAGAACUCCAAGCUAUGCCACAAGAUCCAAGCAAGGGAAUUACUCACAAUUCCUCAAAAGUUUGUUUUUAACGAGUGGAUUGAGCCAUACCUGGUGGGAGACAAAGGCUAUUAGCUGCAGCAGCACUUAAUGAUCCCUCACUUAGGUAAGUUGAUUGUUUUUUUUUUUUUCAAUUAUUCAUUUGAAACAGAUUCCCAGUUGAUGGUCAGUACAACCAGCAACACCAUCUAGCCCAAAUUGUUAUUGAACAAGCAUUUGGACUCCUAAAAAUGAAAUUCAUAUGCUUAAUAGCAAUCAUUUUUAGUCAAAAGUGCAUUUCGCGGAGAUAUUUUUAGAGGAAUAUUCUUCACGGUUAUAUCCCAAACUAGUAAAAAGUAGAAUAUGGAAGAUCGAGUGGCUCUCUUCUACGAGCGGAGGACGAUCUCGAGCAGCAUCGCGUCAACUCCAUUGCGGAAUUGCGUUUGCGCGGCGAUGAUCGCGUUCCAGGCCGCGGUCAUUCCACGGCCUGGAUCACGCUGCUGCUUUCCAAAGGCAAAAAGAAUGUUUAUUCAUCGAUCAAACAGCAAAGAACAUUCAUUUCGGAAAGAAUUCAGCUUAGAGGGAUGUAGUGGAGACACGCUCCACCUUCCCCCCGUUGGGAUCAACCACGAACUUGUCACAGACACGAUGACAUGGCCGGUCAUCUCGAAUUGACCCCAGGCAGCGACGACCAGAGACGGAGUGCAUGCGCCGAGAAUGGCCUUCAGCUCGCCCUCGCGCAUCCUGUUAAAUCCGCCACAAAUUCCUAAGCAGCAAGAAAGAUUGUAAGAACGAAGAUCAUGCGCGCGAGAGAGAGAGAGAGAGAGAAGAGAGAUCUGCAAACAGAAAGAAAGAUACAUGCUCCAGAGAAGAUAUGCAAAACAAACGAAUUGAGCAAGACCGGGGCGGCGCGCGAUCUGCAAAACAAGCAGGACGAGAGACGCGCGCGCGCGACAGAGAGAGAGAGAUCUGCAAACAGAAAGAAAGAUACAUGCUCCAGAGAAGAUCUGCAAAACAAACGGAUUGAGCAAGACCGGGGCGGCGCGCAAUCUGCAAAACAAGCAGGACGAGAGACUAUCACCGCGCGCGCGCGAGAGAGAGAGAGAGAGAGAGAGAGCAAGACCCUGGAGCUGCAGAUCACUCACGCCUCCCACUGCCACCAGAGCUUCUCCCGCAAGAGCUGCAAGACAGAAAGUGUGAGAUUGAGAAAGCCGAGAAAGAGAGAGAGGGAGAGAGAGUAGCAAACCGUGGAGCUGAGGAUCGCUCACGCCUCCCACUCCCGCCAGAGCUUCUCCCGUCAGAGCUGCAAGAAGAAAGUGUGAGAUUGAGAGAGCCGAGAGAGAGAGAGAGAGAGAGAGAGAGAGGAGAAACCUUUCUCUUGCAUGCUUGCCGCCAUAGCCUAGCCGUAACUGCGUCGGAGGAGAAAGGGCAGUGGUAGCUCGGGCUGGGCUUAGGCCGCGUUUAUAUACACCAUUACAGCUGAAUCUCCAUCAUAAUUACUCGUAGAGCGUAGAGAGCGUACUCCAUCCAUCUGAGAAGAUUCUCACUAAAGUCGUAUAAUAUAUUUUGUAAACCGCUUGAGAUUAUGUCAACGUCAACAUUGGUAAUGUGAGAAACGGACACCACAUCUUUACCAAAUGAUAUGAUAUCAUAUGAUAUCAUUGUAAUCACAAUAUAUCAGCUGGUGGCUAAUGAGAAAGUUGGCGCCUUCCACUACAGCAAGAUCAGCAGAAGUUUCAGUGAUCAAAUCAACAACGGAAUCCCACCGCGAUAACACUUCAGGGGUGAGGUCUGAGAAGCUUGCAUAUACUCCUCUGUAGUCCCGUAAACCUUUAAGUGUUUGAAGUGGCCCUCCACAUCUUGCACUUCUAAAUUGUGUGUCACCUGUAGAACUCCUCCAAGAUCCAAUUUAUUUUCUGAAGAGAAACAAAUCACGAAUAUAAUAUCCCUUUUUGUUAUUACUCGUAUAUUCUCUUUCAGAAGUGGCUCGUACAACUUUUUUCUGUGAAUCAGAUGCAAUCACCACCUAGAUCGUCCAGUACAAAGGCUCUAUCAUUGUAUCACCGUCUUGGCCAAAAGCUCCUAACCUAUCCACACGGCUUGGAAGCUUGCAAAGGCCUGCUUGAUGUCCGGCAGAGGUGAUUUUUAGCUUUUGAUUUAAUGUAAUAUGAAAAUGAGAAACCUUGGAAGUAUGAUACAUACUAUAUGUUCUACUAUAUACAUGUUUCUUCACAGUCUUCUAGCUUUGAGAGUUGCUCUCAGUGGUUGUUUCAUCACCACAGUAAACUCUUGUAUGGGAGUUAGAUCCACUGCUGUCUCGCCGGGCACUGUGUUCCACUCGAACUCUUGCACGAGACGAGCAAGGACGAGAUGGACGUGGAGAGUCGCUAGGCCGAGCCCGGGACAGAUCCUCCGCCCGGCUCCAAACGGGAUCAAGUUUAGCGCCCCGGACGAGGCCGUGAAGUCGGCACUGGCACCCGGCCCCUCAAGAAACCUCUCGGGCUUGUACUCGUCAGGAUUCGUCCACAGCUCCGGAUCGUUGUUGAUGGCGUAGAUGUUGAAGAGCAGCGUUGCAUGGACCGGGAUAUCGUAGCCUCCGAGCUUGCAAGGCUCGGUCACUGCGUGAGGAAGAGUGGUGUAGCCCGGUGGAUGCUUGCGUAGAGUUUCCUUGACGACGGCCUUGAGGUAGACCAGCUUGUCGAUGUCUUUCUCGGUCACUGGCUUAUCUCCAACGCUGGAAUGGAUCUCCUCCAGGAGCUUCUUCUGGACGGCCGGGUGCUUGAUCACGUUGGCGAGCGACCACUCGAGAGUGUUGGCGGUGGUGUCGGCUCCGGCGUUGAGAAACUCGGAGCACAGCACGAUCAAGUCCUCGUCCGUGAGCUUGAGCUGAUGAUCCUCUUGCCGCUGGAGCGAGAACAGCGAGCUCAGGUAGGAGUUUUGAUCGAGCUUGUCCUCGGCUGCCAGGAGCUUGGCCCUCUGGAUCAGAGGCAGCAGGAGCUCCCUCCUCUCUCCGACGAGUUCCUCCAGCUUCAAAUCCCUCGGCGAUCGCUG